rnacentral:rRNA from 1 species
AUAUCAAUAAGCGGAGGAAAAGAAACCAACAGGGAUUGCCUCAGUAACGGCGAGUGGAAGCGGCAACAGCUCAAAUUUGAAAUCUGGCUCUUCUCAGGGGUCCGAGUUGUAAUUUGUAGAAGAUGCUUUCGAGGUGUGGCUCCGGUCUAAGUUCCUUGGAACAGGACGUCAUAGAGGGUGAGAAUCCCGUAUCGUGACUGGGUGCCUUCGCUCAGUGUGAAAGCUCUUUCGACGAGUCGAGUUGUUUGGGAAUGCAGCUCAAAAUGGGUGGUAAAUUUCAUCUAAAGCUAAAUAUUGGCCAGAGACCGAUAGCGCACAAGUAGAGUGAUCGAAAGAUGAAAAGCACUUUGGAAAGAGAGUUAAACAGUAC